GCGACGGGGGGAUUGGCCGCAACAGAUUUGGCGCGCCAGGUAGGGGGUUAUUCGACAGAGGUAAGCUAGCGAGCUUCGUAGAAGCUUGAAGAAACCUCUCGAGAUGACGAAAAUCAGAGCUCAGCGAUCGAGAGCUACCGAGUCGGCGAGGCACUCUUCCCGUCGGGAAGAGGCCUCUCCUUCACCUUCCAUGGCGGAGCCCAGCUCUUCGCAUUCGGUGGUAACUACGG
rnacentral:lncRNA from 1 species